GUGCUCGCUUCAGCAGCCCAUAUACUAAAAUUGGAAGAAUACACAGAACAUUAGCACGGCCCCUACACAAGGAUGACACACCACAAAUUCGUAAAGUGUUCCAUAUUUUC